rnacentral:rRNA from 1 species
UACGUAGGGCGCGAGCGUUAUCCGGAAUUAUUGGGCGUAAAGAGCUCGUAGGCGGUUUGUCACGUCUGCUGUGAAAACUGGAGGCUCAACCUCCAGCCUGCAGUGGGUACGGGCAGACUAGAGUGCGGUAGGGGAGAUUGGAAUUCCGUGGUGUAGCGGUGGAAUGCGCAGAUAUCAGGAGGAACACCGAUGGCGAAGGCAGAUCUCUGGGC